GGGGCGCCACUUUAGAAAUUUUUGAAACUCAGUCCUGCACAAUGCACAAACGAGCAUUACCACACAGCAAUCCAAACCAACACAAUAUUCAUAAGUUAAAGCACAUCCUGAAGCAUGGCUCUAAUAACAUGCACUACAUAGAAACAGAAAGGAAUCACAAUACUAAAUACUAAGAAACUUAUUCACAUACUAUCAUAUUAUGCAGAACACAGUUUCUGCCCUAUAAACUACAGACACUAACUAAAUAAGCAAAAUGAAACGAAGGUAAAAAAAAUGAAAACAAUUUGUUGAUACUGAGAUGGGGAUGCCUCCCAUCAAGCGCUUGAUUUAGAGUCGUCGGCUUGACUAUUCUCCCGUCUUACACCGUGUCUCCCAAUGUAAUGGAGGUAUUCUGACGGUCGACCUCGCCGCCCCAGUAGUGUUUUAACCUUUGCCCAUUGACUUUGAAGGUAGUGUCGGAAUUCGGGUCCUCAACCUCUAUUGCCCCAUAGGGAUAAACCUUGCAAUUGUGAAGGGCCCCGACCAUCGGGACUUUAGCUUCCCAGGAAAUAACUUUAGACGGGAAUUGAACAGAAGAACCUUCUGGCCCGGUUCAAAGUGUCUAUCAAGGAUUUUCUUGUCAUGCCACCUCUUGGUCUUCUCCUUGUACAACUUAGCGUUUUCAUACGCUUGCAGACGAAACUCAUCUGAUUCAUUCAGUUGCAAUAGCCGCUUUUCACUGGCUGCCUCAAGAUCAAAGUUGAGCUUUUGAAUAGCCCAGUAUGCAUUGUGCUCCAAUUCAACUGGGAGAUGACAUGCCUUACCAUAAACAAGCCUAUAUGGAGACAUUCCGAUAGGCGUUUUAUAAGGUGUGCUAUAUGCCCAUAAUGCAUCAUCAAGCUUCUUAGACCAGCCCUUACGGUUUGGGUUAACAAUCUUUUCCAAGAUUCGUUUCACCUCCCGAUUCGAAAUUUCAGCUUGACCGCUGGUCUGUGGGUGGUAGGCAGUGGCUAUCUUAUGGGUCACCCCAUACUUGGCUAGGAGGGCUUCAAAGUAUUUGUUACAAAAGUACGACCCUUCAUCGCUGAUGAUAGCCCGAGGUGUGCCGAAAUUGGUGAAAAUAUUCUUCUUUAGGAACUGAAGCACCACCUUAGCAUCAUUAGUCGGCAAGGCAACUGCUUCCACCCACUUUUAGACAUAAUCCACUGCCACAAGGAUGUAGAGAUUGUUAAAGGAGGAUGGGAAUGGUCCCAUGAAGUCGAUUCCCCAUACAUCAAAUAACUCGACUUCCAGGAUGUUUUGCAGUGGUAACUCAUGCCGUCUUGAUAUAGUGCCUACCCGUUGGCAUCUGUCACAGUGCAUCACAUAUGCGUGUGCAUCUUUGAAUAGGGUAGGCCAAUAAAAUCCUGACUGAAGCACCUUAGCAGCAGUUCGUUGACCUCCAAAAUGACCCCCAUAGUUUGAUGAGUGGCAAUGAUGUAGCACACCUUCAGUUUCUUCUUCCGGCAAACAUCUACGCAGAAUCUGAUCGGAACAUUGCUUGAACAGGAAGGGCUCAUCCCACAAAUAUUGCUUGGCAUCCUUAAGGAAUUUCUUCCUUUGUUGAUAACUCAGAUUUUGGGGAAGCACUUGGCAAGCAACGUAGUUAGCGAAAUCUGCAUACCACGGAACUUUACCAUUGACAACAACAAAAAGUUGCUCGUCCGGGAAGAAGUCAUUUAUGGCUUUGUCGGCAUCUCCCGAGGGCGUGGUGUUUUCCAAUCUUGACAAGUGAUCGGCAACCUGAUUUUCUGUCCCCUUCUUAUCUCGGAUUUCCAAGUCAAACUCCUGGAGAAGCAGAACCCACCGUAUCAAUCUCGGCUUAACAUCCUUCUUUUCUAUCAAGUACUUUAUUGCCGAGUGAUCGGUGUAUACAAUCACCUUCGUUCCAAUGAGGUAGGAACGGAACUUGUCAAAAACAUAGACUACUGCCAGCAAUUCCUUCUCAGUGGUGGUAUAAUUUAACUGAGCAUCAGUUAAUGUCUUGCUCGCAUAGUAAAUGGUGUGGAAAACCUUCUCCCUUCUUUGACCCAACACUGCCCCAAUAGCGAAGUCGCUGGCAUCACACAUUAGUUCAAAGGGGUAGGUCUAGUCUGGAGCUAUCACUAUAGGUGCCGUGACGAGUCUUUUCUUUAAUAAGUCAAAGGCGCUCAAGCAGGCCUCAUCAAACUGGAAUGGCAUGUCCUUCUCCAAUAGUGUGCACAAUGGUUUUGUAAUCCGUGAGAAGUCCUUAAUGAACCGUCUGUAGAAACUGGCAUGUCCGAGAAAACUCCUCACCCCUUUCACUGAGUUGGGCGGAGGCAGGUUAUUGAUCACAUCUAUUUUGUCCUUGUCAACCUCAAUUCCGCCUGCAGAAACCCGAUGGCCCAAAAUAAUGCCCUCUUCAACCAUGAAGUGACAUUUUUCCCAAUUCAGCACCAGGUUGGUUUCGACACAUCGAUGGAGAACAGCAGUCAGAUUUGUUUAGCAGUUUUCAAAAGAGCUCCCAAACACUGAGAAGUCGUCCAUGAAGACCUCCAAGGUCUUUUCAACCAUGUCAGAGAAGAUCGACAUCAUACACCGCUGAAAUGUUGCGGGAGCAUUACAUAACCCGAAAGACAUUUUCCGGAAGGCGAAGGUCCCAUACGGACAUGUGAAUGUCGUCUUCUCCUGAUCUUCAGGAGCAAUCGAAAUCUGAUUAUACCCCGAGUAUCCAUCAAGCAGACAAUAAUAUUCGUGCCCAGCCAACCGGUCAAGCAUCUGAUCGAUGAAUGGAAGAGGGAAAUGAUCCUUACAGGUUGAUUUGUUCAGUUUCCUAUAAUCCAUGCACACUCUCCACCCGGUCACUGUCCUUGUGGGAAUCAGUUCGUUGUUCUCAUUGGACACAACUGUCAUCCCGCCCUUCUUGGGCACACACUAGAUUGGACUAACCCAAGGGCUAUCGGAGAUGGGGUAGAUAAUGCCCGCAUCUAGCAACUUAAUGAUCUCUUUCCGGACGACCUCUUUCAUAAUGGGAUUCAGCCGCCUCUGAUUCUCUAUAGAUGGCUUUGAGCCUUCCUCGAGAAGAAUUUUGUGCAUGCAUAGAGUCGGGCUGAUCCCUUUUAUAUCAGCAAUAGACCACCCCAAGGCUGUUUUGUACCUCUUGAGCACAAGCAACAACUUUUCUUCCUGACAUUUUGUUAGAGAAGCAGAAAUUAUCACAGGUAAUGAAGAUGAAUUUCCUAAAUAAGCAUACCUCAGGUGAGCAGGCAAGGGUUUAAGCUCAAGGACAGGAGGCUCGAUGAUUGACGGCUGAGCCUUGAAAGUAGAUGCCUCAUUAUCAUUCAAAGACUUGAACUGGCGGUGGAAUUGCUUUGAUCUUUGAGGUUCAUCGAGCCACAUGGCACAUUCCACAUGUGAUGGUUCUUCCGUAGUACUAGCCCCAGUCAAAGUAGCUUCCAAAGGGUCUUGAAUGCAAGUUUCUGAGAAUACCCCCUUUACUGAAUUAUCAAUUGUAUUUAUCUGGAAGCAAUCCUCAGGUGUAUUAGGAUACUUCAUUGAUCGGAAGACAUUGAAAGUCACUUCCUGAUCAUUAACUCUCAUUGUCAGCUCUCCUUUUUGGACAUCAAUCAAGGUCCUCCCAGUUGCCAAGAACGACCUUCCCAAUAUUAUCGGGACCUCCCUAUCCUCCUCAAAAUCAAGGACUAUGAAAUCCGCCGGGAAUAUGAACUUGUCCACCUUCACUAACACAUCCUCCACAAUUCCCUUCGGGUAUGUCAGAGAUCUGUCGGCCAAUUGAAGGGUGACACUUGUCGGCUUGGCUUCAUUGAGGCCCAACUUUUUAUAAAUGGAGAGGGGCAUCAAGUUGAUGCUAGCCCCUAAAUCACAUAGAGCCUUCCUAAUAAACUGGUCUCCAAUGGUGCACGGGAUUGUAAAACUUCCCGGAUCCUUUAGCUUCAGCGGAAGCUUGUUUUGAAGGAUGGCAAUACACUCUUCUGUCAGUGCCACCGUCUCAUAGUCCCCAUUUUUCGUUUCUUGGAUAGAAUGUCCUUCAUGAACUUGACGUAACUGGGCAUUCCCUCCAAUGCCUCUGCAGAUGGGAUGUUUAUGUGCAGUCUUUUGAACACCUCCAAGAAUUUGGAAAACUGCUUAUCCAGUUUCUGUUUCUGCACCCGCUGGGGGAAAGGCAACUGAGGGAGAGGCUGGUUGACCAAAGUCGUUGGAGGAGAUGGUGUUGGAGGUCUAUCUUGACCACUUUCUUCACCCCCACUUGUCUCAGCACUCUCCUUCACAGGAGGUUCCUCAUCUAGCACUACCUCAACUUCCCCAGGAAUACCCUCUCCACUUUGCACUUUAGUGGUUCUCCCACUUCUAAGGGUUACUGCUUUACACUGCUCCUUGCCUUCCCGUUUCGGGUUGACAUCAGUGUCACUAGGCAAUGCGCCUGGUGGGCGACUGUUUAAAGCAUUAGCCAGUUGUCCCAUCUGUACCUCAAGAUUUCGAAUGGAAGCUUCUUGAUUGUUACUUCGAGUUUCAUUCUGGGCUAUGUACCUUGACAGGAGAUCUUCUAAACUUGGCUUUUUCUCUUGUUGAGGAGGUGGUUGGUGGAAUUGAUUGUGAGUGUUCUGAUGCUGUGGGGUGAACUGAUUCUGAGAUGGGAAACCAGGAGGGUUAGCAUAAUUCGGCCUGGUAGAUGAAGGUUGUGGUUGGUUGGGGUUGUUACUGUUGUUGUUGUUGUUGUUGUUGUUGUUGUUGCCCCAUGAGAAGUUUGGAUGAUUUCUUAGGCCAGGGUGAUAGUGUGGGAAGAUUUGUAUUUUGUUGCCGCCCGUAGUUGGACACAAAUUGAACUGACUCAGGGCUUAUCGCACACUGAUCAGUAGGGUGGCUCCCUUGACAUAAUUCACAUUGCAUCCCCACACUUUGCACACUCUGAACUGUUGUAGGUCCCAUGGUAUCUAGCUUUUUUGUUAGCACUGCUACCUGAGCUGCUAACGAAGUGAAAAAGUCAACUUCAUAGACCCCUGCUACCUUCCUCGGGGCUUGCCUAUCAUUUGGCCAUUGGUAAUUAUUGGCCGCCAUUGUUUCCACCAGCUCGUAACCCGCCGUGUGAUGUUUGGCCAUGAAUGCCCCUCCAGACGCGGCAUCAAUACUCGAUCGAGUUGAUCCAGAUAACCCAUUAUUCUGGAUGGGUAACCAUUCUGGCAAUCCAUGGUGCGGGCAUUUCCUUAAAAGAUCCUUAAAACGCUCCCACAAGUCGUAUAAGGAUUCAGAUUCGAACUGAACAAAGGAUGUGAUAUCAUGCCUGAGCCUGGCUGUUUUGGCGGGCGGGAAAAACUUCGCCACAAAUUUCUGUGCCAUGUCAGCCCACGUGGUAAUGGAGCCUGGCGGUAAUGAAUGAAGCCAGCUCUUGGCCUUGUCCCUUAAUGUAAAUGGAAAUAACCGGAGUCUGAUGGCAUCGUAUGAAACUCCGUUGCAUUUAAAUGUGUCACAGAUCUCCACAAAAUUAAUCAAGUGAUCGUUGGGAUCAUCAUUCGGUAGUCCCCCAAACUGGAUGUUGGUGCACAUUUGAAUGGUUCCCGGCUUGAUCUCGAAAUUAUUAGCUUGGAUGGCGGGCCUUAGAAUGCUCGCCUGGAGAUCGUCAAUUCGAGGCAUAGCAUACUCCCUCAGAGAUUUCUGAAUUUCUUCAGCCAUUAUGAUAGGAGCAGGUGGUUCCCUCGAUUCUUCUCUCCUCAGUCGUCUGUAUGUCCUUAGAUUCUUGUCAACCUCGGGAUCAAGAGGAGUUAUGUUCCGACCCUUCCGAGGUGGCAUAAACGGAGAAGACUACCUGAAAAGAGAAUUAAACAGAAAAAUCAGUUUAAAGUAAGAUCGUAAUGACUUAGUUUUAAUAUUGAGAAAUGAUUAAUACUAAGUCCCCGGCAACGACGCCAAAAACUUGUUGGUCGAUUCAGCUAUUGCCAAAUCGCGCGCAAGCAUACGCGGUCCACAAGUAAUAUAAGUAAGUAAAGUGUCGAAACCAUGAGGACAAAGUCUCAAACGAAAACAAAUACUAAGGUAGAGUCGUCACUAAACAAGUAAUUAAGAAAGAUGGUUAAGCUAUAUGAUUAUAAAUGAAAAUAACGAGAGAAAUGGUUGUGCUAAGAAGUCAAGAUAGGAUUACAACUCCCCUAAUGCGUCACUUAAUCUCCUAACUCUCCAUAUUACAAGCAAAUCAAGGAAUGGCCAACCGAAAGAAGUAAUUACGCAAAAGCUUCUGUCGAAGGUCAAAUGCACAUCCCUAACCGGCUAAAACACAAUAUGUCUAUUGGUGACAAUAACUCGAUCGAGGUCAUUAAGCUAAGUCUCAAGGUCACACAAGGCACAUAGAGAUAUGUCUAUCCCAUGAGCAUAUUAUACACACAUUCCAUAGGCAUGGUUAUAACAGAUGUUGCCGUAUUUAAAAGCUAGAUAAUAACAUUCAUUUGUCAAUGUCCAUUAUUAUCAAUACCAAAAACUCUGUCAAGCAAUCAGUCAUUAAAAACUAAAUACAACAACCCAUUCCAAAAUGAUUCAUUAUAUAUAAUAGGAGAGAAAGUUGAUCAAGCUAAACAAAAGGUUACAUUGCAAUCCUAAAGAUGGAGUUAGUUCAUAACUAUGGUACUAACACACAUAUUCAAUACAUUCACCAUAAUCAGUAGUACACAAAUAAAUGGGAGAUUUGGAAUAAGAAAACUCCUGUUAGGAAAUGUUAUGUCUCCAAAUCUUCUCUUCACUGUGCAAAAGCUGAGCCAAGGUCAGAUGCAAUAACUUUCUUCCUUAAAGCACAACUUCUUUCUCUUCUAAUCUAAGCUGCUGAGAGUUACUAUUGGAUAUCUCUGAUAUUCGAUAUUGAAUGCAACGGCUUCCCUUUGUAUUUAUGACUCUGCUCUUUUUCUAGGUCAUUAAAGACGCUACACUGUUUGGACACCGGAGGCAGCACUGCGGCGCGAACGUAAGUAUCUCAAUCGGCGUCGGGGCGCGAAAGUCAGCGAUGGGGCGCCAUCUGUGGCGCUGGGGCGCUGGCAUGGCGCUAGGCUGGGGCGCUGGGGUGCCGACCUUAGCUGUCGGGCAGCGCCGAGUUGCAGAAUGCUCAACAACAUUGGCGCCGGGGCGCGAGGCAUUGGCGUCGGGGCGCCGAGUGUGGUGCUGGAGCUCGAACUCUAAGAGAGACAUUGGCGCUGCGGCGCCACACAGAGAGAAUAACCUGAAAUACCAGAAACCAGCUCCAAAGCAUACUUAGACAUAAUAACAAUCAAAAUAUACUAAAAACUAACUAAGAGACUGAAAAUAGACACUAACUUAAGCCACAAAGGAACUGAUUCGUAGGUAUAAAACCCACUCAUCACUUGUCCUGAGCACUUUGACAAUCUCGGCGGUCUGUUGUACCAAUUCUGGCCCUAGUAGUUGACGUUCACCAACUUCAUCCCAGCCUAAUGGGGUUCUGCACUUUCUGUCGUACAACGCUUCGUAAGGCGACAUGCCAAUACUUGCGUGGUAACUGUUAUUGUAAGCGAAUUCCACCAACGACAGAUGAUCAUCCCAAUUUCCUUUAAAGUCCAUUAUACAAGCUCUUAACAUAUCCUCCAAUGUCUGGAUGGUUCUUUCACUGUGCCCGUUCAUCUGAGGAUGAUAAGCCGUACUCAUUCUUAACUGUGUUCCCAAGCAUUCCUGUAGUCACUUCCAGAAGUUCGAUGUGAAACGCGGAUCUCGAUCAGAGACUAUAGACAUUGGAACACCGUGCCUUGAAACAAUUUCCUUCACAUACAAUUUCGCCAACUGAUCCAAGUUAAAUCUGAUCUUGAUCGGUAAGAAGUGUGUUGAUUUCGUCAAUUGGUCCACGAUAACUUAUGCUGCAUCAAAACCUUUCUGAGUCGUUGGAAGACCUACCACAAAAUCCAUUGUGAUAUGUUCCCACUUCUAUUCUGAGAUUUCUAACGGUUGCAACAACCCACUCGGCCUUUGAUCUUCUGCUUUAACUUUCUGACAUGUUAAACACUUGGUCACACAAUCAACGUCUCUCUUCAUAUUCGGCCACCAGAAAUGCUGUCAGAGAUCCUGGUACAUCUUUGUACUCCCCGGGUGAAUCGAAUAUCGUGAACUAUGAGCCUCGCUCAAAAUUUCCUCCUUUACUUCUGAUACUUGUGGAACCCAAAUUCUUUUCUCGAAUCUCAAUAACCCUUCCGUAUCGACUUUGAAUUUCACUUCAUCACCUUCAGAUAUUCUUUUCCUUAUCUUUUCACAUUCCUCAUCAUGAAGUUGUGCUUCCUUAACUUUAUCCAUCAAAGUUGGACCGGCUCCCAAUUGAAACAAUUUUUCGUCCGACUCCUUAGGGUAUUUCACCUCCAACUCUAGUUUCGCCAUUGCUGAAAUUAGCUCCUCCUAAGCGGUUAACAUAAACAGCUUCUCUCUACCCUUUCUGCUUAAAGCAUUGGCAACUACAUUCGCUUUACCCGGAUGGUAUAAAAUCUCACAAUCAUAAUCCUUUAUUAACUCCAACCAUCUCCUCUGACGCGUGUUCAAAUCCUUAUGUGAAAAUAUAUUUUAGACUCUUAUGGUCGGUAUAUAUUUCACACUUCUCCCCGUAGAGAUAAUGUCUCCAUAUCUUCAAAGCAAACACCACUGCAGCCCAUUCUAAAUCAUGUGUAGGAUACCCCUUCUCAUAAUCCCUCAAUCGUCGUGACGCAUACGCAAUGACCUUGUCGUUCUACAUAAGCACACAACCUAGUCCCUUAUGCGAUGCAUCACUAUACACUACAAAAAUUCUUGUGCUAUCCGGAAGAGUUCACAGGUGCCGUACUCAACCUCUUCUUCAGCUCUUGGAAAUUUUCCUCACACUUUUCCGUCCAAACGAACUUUACCGAUUUCCUAGUCAAAUUCGUAAGCGGAGUCGCGAUUUUGGAAAAAUCUUGAAUAAAUCUUCUGUAAUAACUUGCCAGUCCUAGAAAACUCCUUACUUCCGACGGUGUCUUUGGCUGAUCCCAGUUCAUCACAGCUUCAACUUUCGAUGGAUUUACCGAAAUCCUGUCCUUGUCAAUCACAUGCCCAAGAAAUUGCACUCGCUCUAUCCAGAAUUCACAUUGCGAAAACAUGACGUACAUCUUCUCAAUGCCUCUAAUGUCACUUUCAAAUGUUCGACAUGCUCCUCCUUAGUCUUAGAAUAUACCAGAAUAUCGUCGAUGAACACCACCACGAAUUUAUCUAAAAAUGGUUUAAACACUGUUCAUUAGGUCCAUAAAUGCUGCAGGAGCAUUCGUUACACCAAAUGACAUCACCAGGAACUCGUAAUGACCAUAACGAGUUCUGAACAUUGUCUUCAGUACAUCUUCUUUCCUCACCUUCAACAAAUGGUACCCACUUCUCAAGUCUAUCUUUGAGAAAUACCUAGCUCCUUUCAACUGGUCAAACAGGUCGUCAAUCAUUGGCAAUGGAUACUUAUUCUUAAUUGUGACAUUGUUUAAUUCUCUGUAAUCAAUGCAAAGUCGCAUCGACCCAUCCUUCUUCUUGACAAACAAUACCGGUGCUCCACACGGUGAUACGCUCGGUUGAAUAUAUUUCUUGUCUAACAGUUCUUGUAGUUGCACCAUCAAUUCUUUCAUCUCCACCGGAGUCAUGCGAUACGGGGCCUUCGAUAUUGGGGCAGUUCCUGGCACCAAGUCGAUCACAAAUUCUACUUUCCUGUCUGGCGCAAGUCAUGACAAGUCAUCUGGAAAUACGUCUCCAAAGUCUCUAACGACUGGUAUCUCCUCUAAUUUCGGAUUCUCCUUUCGAGUAUCGACUAUGUAGGCUAAAUAUCCUACACAUCCUUGUCUCAACAACUUUCUGGCAUGCAUCAUCGUCAGACAACUCGCUUGUCUAGGCGACUUACUGCCAUAAAAUAUAACCUUUGAUGGAGUCAUAAUGUUUACACACUUCCUUUGGCAAUCAAUUAUUGCCCCAUAAUUGAAUAGUCAAUCCAUUCCCAGAAUGACGUCAAAUUCCCCAAGUUUAAUCGGAAUUAGAUCUACCAUCAUUUCGUGACCCUUAAUGUCCACCCUACAGUUCAUAUGUACAAACCUAACACGAAUUACUUCCCUAUUUGCAAUCUCUAUGUUCAAAGGGUAUUCUAAUAUUCCUCUUUAGGCAAAUUCAAAUUCUUAGCAAAAUCGUCGAAUAUAAAUGAACAAGUAGCACCCGAAUCAAAUAAUACGUAAGCAUUAACAUUAUUGAUCGGAAUGAUACCUGACACCACAUCUCGGGACUGCACAACAUCCUGCACAGUCAUGUUGAAAGUUCUGGCGGUGGGUCGGUUUGGCGGCGACGGUCCAGUGAUAGUCAGAGUGCUACCACCGCUGUUUCCCUUACUUCCACCCGCUCUUGCUCCUCCUGCUGCCUUCUUGGGACAAUCCCUAGCCAAAUGAUCCCUCGACCCGUAAGUAAAACAAGCCCCCUUUUUAGGGUUAGGGCAAUUUGGCUCUAUGUGGCCUUCUUUAUCACAAUUGUAGCAAACCCUCUUUCCCUUCAUGCAUACCCCUAGGUGAUUCUUCCCGCAAAUAAGACAAGCCCACACCUUCUUCUUCUGACUUCCUUGCUGAUUCCCAGUAGACAUAUUAUCAUUCCACUUCCUCUUCUGACUAUGACCGCCACCACUAGCUUUGUUGUUCUCACUUUCAUUCUUCUUCUUCUGCUCUUGAUUAUACCUGGUCAGAGCAUUGCUUCCACCUUCUACAAUAAUUGCCUUCUCCAAUACUCCCGCAAAAGUGUUCAAUUGGAACAUUGACACCUUGCUAUACAAUCACGACUUCAAUCCUUGUUUAAUCCUCCUAGCUUUCCUCUGAUCCGUAUUCACUUGAUAAGUUGCGAACCUAGCCAACUCGUUGAAUUUCGCGGCAUAUUCUUCCACCGUCAUGUUUCCUUGCUUCAAUUCCAAAAACUGAACCUCCAUCUGGUUCUGAGAGCUCGUUGGGAAACACAUCUCAAAGAACAUCUCCUUGAACCUAUCCCAUGCGAUCACACCUUGUCCUCCUCUAACCACCAGUAGCUGGCCUCUGACUUCAGCAUAAACGUUGCAAAGGCGGUCUUCUGGUCGUCGUUGACCCUUGCAACGUCAAACACCUUCUCCAUUUCCAUAAUCCAGGUCUGAGCUUCGACCGGAUUCAUGGAUCCCCUAAACUCAGGCGGUCCUACCGCCUUGAAAUCCUUAAAUGAGGUAGCUUGAGCUUGCGGUUGAUUCGCAAGUGCUCUCGUUAAUAGGUUUACCAACCGCUGAACAGGAUUGGCGUUGGCAUUGUCGUUGUUGUUGUUAAUGUUCGUGGAUCCUUCCUGAGCUUGUUGACGUGUUGGGCGUCUUCUUGGCGGCAUUUUCUGUUUAAGAUAUACACUUAUUAGAUCAUUACUCAAUCUCCUAAGUAUUUAAGACUUAACUUAAACAUUUUAAGAUUAUUACUUAACACAUAACAUCUUGAAUAAACAUUGAUAUUUUAUUCAUUAAUAACUUUUAAAACAUGGAAAGAUAGCAUCACUGCUAUUUACAUCAACUAUCCCGAGAUAAAGAAUCUUCAGGAUUAAAUCAUCAUAUUUCAUUGCUUAUAUUCACAUUGGAAUUUACAUCAUUAAUUACCAUAGAUAUUCACAUAACUCAUACUGUUCCUAUCACGGCCUACUAAGACGUCGAACAUCUUCUCUGCGCUCUUCUUCCAUGAUACGAAACAUCGUCCUACGAUCCAGGUAAGUCCUCGAACUGGACUGGAUAGUACAUAACUCGGUCCUGAGCUUUGUUCAUCGCAGUGUGGAAUGCACAAUCCAUCUCCCCCAUCUUGGCCUUCUUUGCCUGCACCUCUUCCUCGGCUACAUCUGCACGCUGGGAAGCCUCCUCAUAAGCAUCUUCAGCCCUUGCUCUCUUGGCGGACUCUUCUUUCAGAUCAUCUUUCAGCUUCGCAACCUCUGCCAUCAGUUGCUCAUUGUCACCCUCUAAGUGACUAAUUUCCACUCCACAUUUCCAAGACUUACAUCAAGACCUCAGAUUUCCUCAUUUUUCUGACCUAUAGUGGUCUGACGUUCAUCUGCCAGCUCCUCCAAUUCUCUGACUCUAUCCUGAAGCUCAAUGUUACGGUCACACACCUCGUCAUACAUUUGAGCUGCAAUAGAGUUCGGUGGGAACUCAUCUUCCUCCUCUUCCUCCUCAGGGUCAGUCUCAGGUUCAUGCUCCUGACCCACAAUAGUGAUCAAUGGAGAUGGCUCUCUCUGUACCAACUGCUCCCGGACAACAUGAAUGUCUCAGGGCUCCUCCUCUCUAGGUACUCGGGAUUCCUCCUCCCCAGCCCGACUAGAUCCUCCAACCUCAGAAAUCCUGACAACAAAGUUUUAAGUUUUAGUUACUAAUCGAUACUCGUGAGCACAUAAGUAUAUCACUUAAGCACAUAAAGUCUUUUAAGAAAUUCAUUUCUUAGAACUCGAUAAGAGUUUAUCACCACUAUGUUCUCAAUCUCCUAUAAGGCUACUACUUAAGGUUNNNNNNNNNNNNNNNNNNNNNNNNNNNNNNNNNNNNNNNNNNNNNNNNNNNNNNNNNNNNNNNNNNNNNNNNNNNNNNNNNNNNNNNNNNNNNNNNNNNNAAUGCGGAACAUCAUAAACAAAUAAGUCUUAAACAUCACGUAACAAGUCCUAACAUAAUCAUUCUCAAAUACUAAAUAAGUCUUCAUCAUUUACUUGCUUUGCCCUUGCCCUUACUUGUGGAUGGCUCAUCAACUUUCUCAAUCUUAGCUGCAAUGUUAUUAUGCAAGAGUGAGCAACAAUUGCCCACAAGUUUAACAAUAGUAAUAAUAAUAACAUGCGAAUAAUCAAUGGAUACUGAACAAAAGAAAGCUUGGCUUUUGAAUCAAGAUUAGAACAAAAAUCAAAAGUACAUCUGAGGGUCACAAGACCAUGAACUAUGUCCUAGGUUAUCAAGUAUUUCUACUUUAAACCUUUAACAGUUGUAAGACUAUAUGAACCUUGCUUCUCGUACUUAGGGGGAUCAGUACCAUGUAUGUGCACAACAUAUUAACGCUAUCACGUAAUAUAAUCCCCCAUAACAGGGUUGUUCAUCUCAGCUUUGACGUUUGAGUCCGCACCAAAGGAAGUUUGGUUUGGAUUAGCUUCAAGGGUAAUUUAGAGUUCAAUAAUCAUCAACUAAGGAUUAGUUGAAUCGAUAAGGAAUCACUAUCCAUCCAAGGUUUCAAUGCAAUAUCGAAAUCAAUAAUCAAAUCAAAGAUUGAAUCUCAACUCUAUAUAAUUGACUGAAAAGAUUGGUCUCGUUCGUCACACUACUAGAAUCCGUUAUAUUUGUAACAAGCUGGGCAUGAUUGAUAUACAUGCUCCAACUUGUGGGAAGUGUUAGAUUAAUCUAGAUGAUUCUAGGAUUCUAUGAUUGAUUUGAUUAGGAGUGAUUAGUGGUAGGAUUAUUCUAGAAGCGUGGUUAGUGGUAAUCACUUAUCAUUAUGAUUUACUUUUCAUAUUUAGCUUCGACACUUGGCCUAUAUAAAAGCUCUCUAUUGUACACAUUAUGAUAUGGAAUAAUAUUGAUUUUUAUGGAUAAAUUCUAUUAAAAAAAUGUUGUUGAUGUUGUUCUGUCAAAUGACUUGUCCUUUUCUUUUCUUUAUUUUUUUUUUAAAAAAAUAACUAAAAUUUAAUGACCAGGCCUUUGACAGAGAAGAGAAAGAACUAACAUAUGUGCUGUAAUGAGCAGUACUUAAUAGUAAAUUUAUCUGUUCUUAUUGUUCUUUUUUUUUUCUUGAUAAAUUCUCAAGUAUAUUGACAUUUAUCCACAAGUUCCUGCAUUAUAGUUUCAGUAAUCACCUAUCUUGCCACAGAAAAUUUAAACUGUUGUUUGUAUUUUACCUUUCAUCAGCUAUACAGAAAAAAGGGCAUAAUGAUCCAUGAAGAAUGAAUUUUUAAGCCUACUUUUAAUUGCAAUUGGUUAAAUGAUUAAGGAUUAUCUAUUUCUUUAUUGUAAACUCUAUUUGUUUAUCUAGUAUAUUGGAGUAUUGGACUUAGAUGUUGGGCUGGCCAGCUAAAGAAAGUAUAUUCUGUCAAUGUAUUUUGUCAAUCAUUCAAUUUAGACAUUCUUUUGCUUCUGAAAAUAUUUUGUUCUUUGAUUUUUGUGUGUAUUUAAAUAAUCACGUAUAUUGUCUUUCAAAAAUCACAUGUUCAUCCCAUAUAGGGAACGAGUUUUCUAAUAUAUUGUAUAAUUCCUUAAUCCAUCGAAAUAGUUUCAGAAGAAGUCUGCAAUUGCUUGUGCGUAAAUUUCUUGCAAUUGCUAGGUUUCGAUUUGCCCACCCUCUGAGCUUGCAUUACUCAGUUGUUAGUUUCAAGAUUUUUUUAUAAUAAGUUAGUUUCAAGAUUUUAUUGGACUUCUAUUUCUCUAUCUCUGACAUAUUAAUUCAUCUACAGACCAGGAUUAAGGUCUACUAUAACAGGCUUUCUUCCAAGUGUCAUUCUCAGUGGAUGUAUAUACGUUGUUCCGUUUGCCAUGAUUGCAAUGGCUAGACUAGCAGGUUAUGUAUCGAGGAGUAGAAAGGAUAUAAAGGCUUGCAACAUGGUCUUCUAUUUUUUAGUGGGAAAUGUAUUCUUCUUAAGCUUAUUAUCAGGUUCUUUACUUGAUCAAAUUGGACAGUCGUUCAGCCAUCCCAAAAAUAUUCCUGGUCAUCUUGCAGGCGCGGUUUCUGCUCAAGUAAGUUUGAUCCAGCUCUUAAUCAGGCCUUUUACAUGUUAUUGCUUGUAUUGCACCUCUGGUUUCUAGAAGAUUUCAUCUAAAUGGUCAUUAAUAUGAGUAGCUAGCAUGUUAUCUACAGUACAUCAGAUUGCAUCUCUAGUUUAUUCUAUACCAGGGUUUAAUCUCGAAAUUUCCCUUCUGUUAGUUCCUGUGUGGGUGGACUUCUUGUCCCCCCUACUUCUUUUGUUCCUCUCCUUUUCUAUUAAUAAAAUUUCUUCAGUUACCUUAAAAAAAUAAAACUAAAUAUAUGAUAACCUUCCUGAUAAUUUUACAUUGUAACAUUAUAAUUUAGUUACUGGCUUAUGAAUCUGUGUUAUCUAUUCCAGGCAGACUUCUUUAUGACAUAUAUUCUGACAAGUGGACUGUCGGGAUUUUCUCUGGAAGUUCUUCAGCCUGGGUUACUUAUCUGGAAUUAUAUAAAGUUGCAUACAUUUGGCCGUGGAAAAAAGAAAAAUCCUUAUCUCUACUCACUGCCUUAUUACAGAAUUAUUCCUUUUAUUUGUCUCUUUAUACUGAUUGGCAUGGUAUAUGCAGUCGUCGCACCAUUGCUGCUCCCAUUUCUAAUUGGUUAUUUCCUUUUAGGCUAUGUUGUGUUUAUUAACCAGGUAAGAAUCCUACAAUUUUGAUUUUUCUUACUUAAAGUCUCUGUAUCUUAUUCUCAUCAUGUAAAUUCUGCUUCUCUUGAUUCUUUUUUUAUUUUUUAUAUCCCACAUGGCACUUUGAAACAAUGAUAAGAAUCCAUUAAUGCAGUAUUAAUUAAGCCAGAAUAUGGGUUUGGAGUGAAAUAUAAGGAGGAAUGUAAGUAUAUAUGUUUGCAUUUGGUAUUUUAUCUUCAAGUUUCGAUUUAAUCGUCAUUAAUGGUUCUUGUUAGCUUCCAUCAAUAAGUAAAGCAAAAAGGAGCUGAAUUGAUUGCUCUUUGAGCUAACGCGUUAGUUUGAUGCCAUCAUUAGCAAAAGAAUGUAUGCAGUGUGUGUUGCUGCAAGAUUGUCUCAGUGAGGACUAUGCAAGUGGAUAACAGGAAUACCAAGGUCUUGAAAUAAAUGUGACGGCCAUGACAUUUCUGAAUAUACUGACCCUAAAGCUUUAUAUUAAGAAAUGCUAGAAUGGGAGACGAAGAAAUCAUUCUAACCAGUAUGCCCAGUUAGAUGAAAUGAUUGAUUAGUGUGAUGGGAAUUUCAUAAUGGUGGGACUCUUUUAGUCAAAGAAAGCAUUCUCUUAACAGUUGUAAGAUGUUAAAAAGUGGGUGCAUACAAAAGAAUAAACUUGGUUUACAGAAUCAUUCGAGUCUAUACUGAAGUAGAAAGAACUCCAGGAAAUUGUAGGUGCCUACUCUGAUUGAAGAAAGAAGAAUGUGAAGUAUUAGUUGAUUUAGAACCAGAUGUGAAAGGAGGGUAACAUACUAUGUAGCUAGCCUACCAUUUUGCUGCAAUAAAUUAGCAGAGUAAAGGUCAUCUCUUUUAGAUUUAAUGCCUUAGUGGAACGAAGAUUGAGCAAGUUUAUCAUGGAUUUUUCUUUCAAAGUGUGUUAGAUGUUGAUUUUAAAGGGGUGUAUAAUCACCAAUAUAGAUCAUAUUGGUACAAAACAAUUGACUUUGAAAUGUGAGAUGAUGGUAUUUGUGAAGGGAAAGCAAAAGGAACAUGAAAUUUUCAGUUUCAGUGUAGACUUUCGUUUGAAGUAAGACAGAACUAAAUAAUCCCAUGGAGUUUGAUAUUAGCUUGAUUUGAGCAUUUUACAAACACAUGAUAUGCGUUUUUGGUCCCUCCCCACUAUAGUUUAGGCUUUUAGAGCAGUUGGUAACUAUUAGAGCUCUGGGUAUGCAAGAGAUCUAAGUUUUCAAGUUCCUGGGUUCAAGGCUGAUAGGGAUAGAUCCAUGAAAAGACAAUUAUCGCGGAUGAUUUGCUAUUUACUCCCUUCAUCCCUUAAUAUAUUUUAUUUUAGAUGAUUUCAUUUUUAUGUAAUUAUUUGUCGUUUUAUAUAAUUGAAGAGAAUUAACUACAUCUUUACAAAAUUACUCUCAUGAGAAAAUAUUAAGGAUAAGAGAAUAUAAGAUAAUUAUGAUAAUUAUGAGAAUUUAAAGAUAUUAUAGAGAAUUGAUAUUAUAUUUAAUACUUCCUCCGUCUCGGUAGACUUUUCACGCAUAUUAAAAAGAGGAAUAAAAUGACAAAAUUGUCUAUAAUAAUGUCAUUAAAUAUGGAAAAAGAAUUAGAAUGAGAAAAAUAUGAGAUAUUUAAUGCUACGAGCAUAAUAGGAAAAAAUGUGUAAAAAUUUAAUUAUUAAAGAAAAGUGAACAUUUAACAUAGGACAAUCUAAAAUAGUAAUAAGAACUUUUAUCCGGGAAUAUUAUACAAUCAUUUCUUUAAUUUUUGUGCACAACUCUAAAAUUACCCGGACCAUCCAUUGUUGAAGCCGACCUAUCAGAUCGUCCACCCCAAAAUUGUGACCCACAUCGUGACUUAAAUAUCGCGACCCAAACAUUCCUCCAAAGCCCAACUACCAACACACCAAUCAUUGCAGUCGAAUCCCAAAUCGCUAUUGGGAAAGGAAACAGAAAAAAAAGAAAAAGAAAGGGCCGACAGAGAUUGUGUUGUUGCCGUCGUCAGAAAAGCACUGCCAUCGUCACUACUCGUUGAUCCUUCUGCCACCGUCGCUACUCGCUGCAUCUCUUCAUCCUCUGCGUAUGCGUGUUUUGGAGAAUAAGGGAGAUAAUCCGUAACCCUUACUUUCCUAAAGUAAUAAAUCCUUGCACAAUUACAUUUUAAUAUCCUAAACUUUCGCUUUCCAUUUAAUAUUGUCUCACACUAUUAGUUUUCAUCUUUUCACCCCUGCUUUUUGCAUAAAAAGCUCUAAACUUUUAACCUUAGCACUUUUCACCCCGUCUCAUACUUUCUGAUCAGUUAGGUCCAAAAAAAAAAGUAAAAAUUUCAUAUUUGAAUAUUAGGAUUUUAAAUACUUAAUCACUU
rnacentral:lncRNA from 1 species